GACGUAGGGUGCGAGCGUUGUCCGGAUUUAUUGGGCGUAAAGAGCUCGUAGGCGGCUCGUCGCGUCAGCUGUGAAAACCCGCGGCUUAACCGUGGGCUUGCAGCUGAUACGGGCGGGCUAGAGUUCGGUAGGGGAGACUGGAAUUCCUGGUGUAGCGGUGAAAUGCGCAGAUAUCAGGAGGAACACCGAUGGCGAAGGCAGAUCUCUGGGCCGUAACUGACGCUGAGGAGCGAAAGCAUGGGGAGCGAACAGG
rnacentral:rRNA from 1 species